GCUUGGAAUUGUUACCUGGAAGUUUAAAGCCGAAGAAUAAAUAGAAUAAACGGCUCGCGGCAGAGCAUGUUGGUUUUAGACAAGCCUGGCAAGACAGUCCAAAAAUAAGAGCAAUGCUCUAGUCAGCUGCUGUGUCUUCCUCUCUUCCUCAAAGAAGUGACCUCGCUGGGGUCCAUUACCUGUCUAUUCGCUAGCCCUCUGCUAUCCAGGUGCCUGGAAUACAGAUGUGAUGGCUGGCGCGGACGCUGCUAGCUUGGAUUAUGAAGAUGAGAUGGGGGAAUAGUGAUCUGGAUUGAAACCUGAGUCCUCAAGAACUAGUGAUACAAAGCUACUAUGUCGGCCGUGAGCAGUCCACCCCCACACUUCUACAAAAGGGAAAAAUAAACUUUCAUUGUGUUUGGAGUCUGUAUUAUCA